rnacentral:rRNA from 1 species
AUUGAACGCUGGCGGCAUGCUUUACACAUGCAAGUCGAACGGCAGCGCGGGCUUCGGCCUGGCGGCGAGUGGCGAACGGGUGAGUAAUGCAUCGGAACGUGCCCAGUAGUGGGGGAUAGCCCGGCGAAAGCCGGAUUAAUACCGCAUACGACCUGAGGGUGAAAGCGGGGGACCGAAAGGCCUCGCGCUAUUGGAGCGGCCGAUGUCGGAUUAGCUAGUUGGUGGGGUAAAGGCUUACCAAGGCGACGAUCCGUAGCUGGUCUGAGAGGACGACCAGCCACACGGGGACUGAGACACGGCCCAAGCCCCUAGGGGAGGCAGCGGUGGGGAAUUUUGGAAAAUGGGGGCAACCCUGACCCAGCCAUGCCGCGGGGGGGAAGAAGGCCUUCGGGUUGUAACCCGCUUUUGUUGGGGAAGAAACCCUUUGGGCUAAUCCCCCGGGGGGAUGACGGUACCGGAAGAAGAAGCACCGGCUAACUACGU